rnacentral:rRNA from 1 species
AGAGUUUGAUCCUGGCUCAGGACGAACGCUGGCGGCGUGCCUAAUACAUGCAAGUAGAACGCUGAGGACUGGUGCUUGCACUGGUCUAAGGAGUUGCGAACGGGUGAGUAACGCGUAGGUAACCUACCUCAUAGCGGGGGAUAACUAUUGGAAACGAUAGCUAAUACCGCAUGACAAUAGGGUACACAUGUACCCUAUUUAAAAGGGGCAAAUGCUUCACUAUGAGAUGGACCUGCGUUGUAUUAGCUAGUUGGUAAGGUAACGGCUUACCAAGGCGACGAUACAUAGCCGACCUGAGAGGGUGAUCGGCCACACUGGGACUGAGACACGGCCCAGACUCCUACGGGAGGCAGCAGUAGGGAAUCUUCGGCAAUGGGGGGAACCCUGACCGAGCAACGCCGCGUGAGUGAAGAAGGUUUUCGGAUCGUAAAGCUCUGUUGUUAGAGAAGAACGGUAAUGGGAGUGGAAAAUCCAUUACGUGACGGUAACUAACCAGAAAGGGACGGCUAACUACGUGCCAGCAGCCGCGGUAAUACGUAGGUCCCGAGCGUUGUCCGGAUUUAUUGGGCGUAAAGCGAGCGCAGGCGGCUUGAUAAGUCUGAAGUUAAAGGCUGUGGCUUAACCAUAGUUCGCUUUGGAAACUGUCAAACUUGAGUGCAGAAGGGGAGAGUGGAAUUCCAUGUGUAGCGGUGAAAUGCGUAGAUAUAUGGAGGAACACCGGUGGCGAAAGCGGCUCUCUGGUCUGUAACUGACGCUGAGGCUCGAAAGCGUGGGGAGCAGACAGGAUUAGAUACCCUGGUAGUCC